rnacentral:rRNA from 1 species
AUUAAUCCACAACCAUAAGCGCCAGGGAAUUACGAGCCAAGCUUAAAACCCAAAGGAUUUGACGGUGUCCCACCCCCCUAGAGGAGCCUGUUCUAUAAUCGAUGAUCCCCGCUACACCCGACCAUUUCUUGCUUAUCAGUCUGUAUACCUCCGUCGAAAGCUUACCAUGUGAACGCCCCCACAGUAGGUUCAAUGAUCCCCGUCAAUACGUCAGGUCAAGGUGCAGCUUAAGAAAUGGGAAGCGAUGGGCUACAAUUUCUAACUUAGAACAAACGAAAGGCUAUGUGAAACCAUAGUCACGAAGGCGGAUUUAGUAGUAAAAAGAAAAUAGAGUGUUCUUUUUAACCUGGCUCUGGGACGCGUACACACCGCCCGUCACCCUCUUCGAUAGUGCUAACCCACAGUCUAUAACCUAUUUAUACGUCUGAGAAGAGGCAAGUCGUAACACGGUAAGUGUACUGGAAAGUGCACUUGGUAUAUUACAAAAUAUAGCUUAACAAAAGCCCCCCGCUUACACCGAGGAGUUAUCUGUUUGACCCAGAUUAUUUUGAGCCUUAAAUCUAGCCCCCAUGAUCCGCAUGAUACUCCCCAACAUCUGUAAAAAAUAAAACAUUUUAACAUUUUAGUAUAGGCGAUAGAAAAAUUAUUAAGCGCUUUAGACAGAGUACCGCAAGGGAAAUAUGAAAUAGUAGUGAAACAAUUUUUAUAGCCACAAACAGCAGAGACA